CAUCACCACCACCACCACCACCCCCAACACACACACACACACACACACACACACUUCAAUUGAAACCGCACGAGGCCUGUCACAGCGUGAUUACUGCGUCCUUAUUGUAACCUGAACACAUUACAGUGAAGUCCCAGCUCGAGCCAAUCCCCUGCUCCAUCACCUGGCUGACCUUCAGCAUGGCUCUUCCUCUCUGACUCGCAGGCACAUUUUUAUCUUUCUAUCAGCAAAUAGGUUGAAGCCCCAGCACUGCCCAGCUGCCCCUGUUGAGUCCUUCACCCUCUCUGCUCCAGGGCACUGUGUCAUCAUCUUCUUCUUCAUCAUCAUCAUCAUCAUCAUUUACAUUUCUGGCAUUUGGCAGAUGCUCUUAUCCAGAGCAACAUACAAAAGUGCUUUAAGUCUCUGUCAUUGAAAACAUUAACACUGGUUCAGUAGAUUACAAACUCAGGAGACCAGGAGCCUAAAAUUGGAUGUUUUUUUGUUUUUUUAUUAAACAUAUAACAAUAUAUAAACAGGGGAAGAUAAGAGCUAGUUUAAGUGCCUCAGGAAGAGGUAGGUCUUAAGACGUCGUUUGAAGACAGUCAGAGACUCUGCUGUAUGGACAUCUAGGUGAAGUUCAUUCCACCACCUCGGUGCCAGAACAGAGAAGAGUCUAGAUGAAUACCUACCUUUUACCCUGAGAGAUGGUGGGACCAGUCGAGCAGUGAUAGUGGAUCGGAGGGAGCGAGGAGCAGUGCGAGGAGUAAUAAGGUCUUUGAGGUCAGAUGGUGCUGGUCCAUUCUUGGCUUUGUAGGCAAGCAUCAGUGUUUUGAAUCUGAUGCGUGCAGCUACCGGAAGCCAGUGGAGGGAACGCAGCAGUGGGGUGGUGUGGGAGAACUUAGACAGGUUGAAGACAAGCCGUGCAGCUGCAUUUGGAUCAUUUGCAGUGGACGAAUUGCAUUCAGAGGAAGACCUGCCAGUAAAGAGUUGCAGUAGUCCAGUCUCAAAAUGACCAGAGACUGAACAAGCAUCAUCAUCUUCUUCUUCUUCAUCAUCAUCUUCAUCAACAUCAUCAUCAUCUUCUUCAUCUUCUUUAUAAAGGAAUGAAUUAAAGUGAAAGCGGGUUCAUUAAACACUCAGUGUCACUCACUGAGCAUGGACAUGUUCAUCUGUAUCUAUCUGUAUUUAUACAAUAAA